rnacentral:rRNA from 1 species
GAAGGACGUGCUAAUCUGCGAAAAGCUUGGAUGAGUCGAUAAGAGGCGUUUAAUCCAAGAUGUCCGAAUGGGGAAACCCAGUGGGUGAAGAACCCACUAUCAUUAUCUGAAUCCAUAGGAUAAUGAGGCGAACCGGGAGAACUGAAACAUCUAAGUACCCCGAGGAAAAGAAAUCAACCGAGAUUCUGUCAGUAGCGGCGAGCGAAAGCGGAAGAGCCUGUUAGUGAUAGCAGUUUUGUUAGGAGAAUGUGUUGGGAAGCACAAUCACAGAGGGUGAUAAUCCCGUAUCCGAAAACAUUAUUGCGGUACUAAGCUAACGAAAAGUAAGGCGGGACACGAGAAAUCCUGUUUGAAGAUGGGGGGACCAUCCUCCAAGGCUAAAUACUCCUGAUUGACCGAUAGUGAACCAGUACUGUGAAGGAAAGGCGAAAAGAACCCCGGUGAGGGGAGUGAAAUAGAACCUGAAACCUUGUACGUACAAGCAGUGGGAGCCCGAAAGGGUGACUGCGUACCUUUUGUAUAAUGGGUCAGCGACUUAUAUUUUGUAGCGAGGUUAACCGAAUAGGGGAGCCGAAGGGAAACCGAGUCUUAACUGGGCGAAUAGUUGCAAGGUAUAGACCCGAAACCCGGUGAUCUAGCCAUGGGCAGGUUGAAGGUUGGGUAACACUAACUGGAGGACCGAACCGACUAAUGUUGAAAAAUUAGCGGAUGACUUGUGGCUGGGGGUGAAAGGCCAAUCAAACCGGGAGAUAGCUGGUUCUCCCCGAAAUCUAUUUAGGUAGAGCCUUGAGCGGACACCUUCGGGGGUAGAGCACUGUUUCGGCUAGGGGUCCAUCCCGGAUUACCAACCCGAUGCAAACUGCGAAUACCGAAGAGUGAUACUCAGGAGACACACGGCGGGUGCUAACGUUCGUCGUGGAGAGGGAAACAACCCAGACCGCCAGCUAAGGUCCCAAAGUCUAUAUUAAGUGGGAAACGAAGUGGGAAGGCUUAGACAGCUAGGAUGUUGGCUUAGAAGCAGCCAUCAUUUAAAGAAAGCGUAAUAGCUCACUAGUCGAGUCGGCCUGCGCGGAAGAUGUAACGGGGCUCAAAUAUAGCACCGAAGCUGCGGCAUCAGACGUAAGUCUGUUGGGUAGGGGAGCGUUGUGUAAGCGGAUGAAGAUGGUUCGAGAGGGCUGUUGGACGUAUCACAAGUGCGAAUGCUGACAUAAGUAACGAUAAAACGGGUGAAAAACCCGUUCGCCGGAAGACCAAGGGUUCCUGUCCAACGUUAAUCGGGGCAGGGUGAGUCGGCCCCUAAGGCGAGGCUGAAAAGCGUAGUCGAUGGGAAACGGGUUAAUAUUCCCGUACUUGGAUAAACUGCGAUGUGGGGACGGAGCAGGUUAGGUUAUCGCACUGUUGGAUAUGUGCGUUUAAGUUUGUAGGUGUGAAGUUUAGGCAAAUCCGGACUUCUUUAACACUGAGAGAUGAUGACGAGGCUCUACGGAGCUGAAGUAACCGAUACCACACUUCCAGGAAAAGCCACUAAGCUUCAGGUUUAUCUAAACCGUACUGAAAACCGACACAGGUGGUCAGGUAGAGAAUACUCAGGCGCUUGAGAGAACUCGGGUGAAGGAACUAGGCAAAAUAGCACCGUAACUUCGGGAGAAGGUGCGCCGGCGUAGAUUGUAAUCCCUUGCGGAUGAAGGUUGAACCGGUCGAAGAUACCAGCUGGCUGCAACUGUUUAUUAAAAACACAGCACUCUGCAAACACGAAAGUGGACGUAUAGGGUGUGACGCCUGCCCGGUGCUGGAAGGUUAAUUGAAGAUGUGCAAGCAUCGGAUCGAAGCCCCAGUAAACGGCGGCCGUAACUAUAACGGUCCUAAGGUAGCGAAAUUCCUUGUCGGGUAAGUUCCGACCUGCACGAAUGGCAUAAUGAUGGCCAGGCUGUCUCCACCCGAGACUCAGUGAAAUUGAAAUCGCCGUGAAGAUGCGGUGUACCCGCGGCUAGACGGAAAGACCCCGUGAACCUUUACUAUAGCUUGACACUGAACAUUGAAUUUUGAUGUGUAGGAUAGGUGGGAGACUUUGAAGUAGUCACGCCAGUGAUUAUGGAGUCGUCCUUGAAAUACCACCCUUUAACGUUUGAUGUUCUAACGAAGAUUACGAAACGUGGUCUCGGACAGUGUCUGGUGGGUAGUUUGACUGGGGCGGUCUCCUCCCAAAGAGUAACGGA